GUAGUUUUAUUCAGCAAUCAGCAAGACUUUCUAAGAUAACUAAUAUAGGACAAUGCUGUUGAUUAAAAAAUACUCCAUUCCUGGAUAGCCAGGACCUUUUGUUUUCCAAAUAAUUAAUAUUACCAAUAAUUGAUAAGUUCCAGGUCGAUGGGUUCAAACAGAAAGAUUUGAAAGCAGAGAAAACUUUGUAUCUUAUAAUCGACAUGACUUUAUCA
rnacentral:lncRNA from 1 species